GGGGCUGCUGUCACCAGAAGAAGAACUCGUAUCCUCGAGAUACACUCGCACAGCCAUGCUCACUGAUGCAGUCCGUUGAUGCCCACGAAAUGAGAUCGGCUAUUUUUAGCGCCCUAUAAUUUAUACUCAAAUAAAACUUGAGGCGGGCGAGAAAAGUUCGCAGUUGCCCACAAAUCAGAUAAGUAUUUUCGUAUCGCCAAGUGCCACUUCGCUCUGUUUACCCCCGAUUUUAGCGCCCUCCGAUCCCAAUUCCCAACUGAAUGAACCUACCAACCCACCCCCCCGCUUACGGGCAUGCCAACUCCCCCUGACCCACAAAGUGCCCACUUUUGCUUAUUUGUAAUUGAUACUUGAUCUGGUGGAGCGUAUAAAAGCCACUUUAGGCGUUGCCAUUACGUCACCUUGAGUCAGCCUUAGCUUCAGUUUCAGCUACAGCUUCAGCAUCAGCAUCAGAUUCAGCAUCAGAUUCAG
ensembl:ncRNA lncRNA:CR44354 long non-coding RNA:CR44354